rnacentral:rRNA from 1 species
GACGUAGGGUGCGAGCGUUGUCCGGAUUUAUUGGGCGUAAAGAGCUCGUAGGCGGCUCGUCGCGUCGACCGUGAAAACCCGCGGCUUAACUGCGGGCUUGCGGUUGAUACGGGCGGGCUAGAGUUCGGUAGGGGAGACUGGAAUUCCUGGUGUAGCGGUGAAAUGCGCAGAUAUCAGGAGGAACACCGGUGGCGAAGGCGGAUCUCUGGGCCUUACCUGACGCUCAGGCGUGAAAGCUAGGGGAGCGAACAGG